rnacentral:rRNA from 1 species
GACAGAGGUGCCAAGCGUUAGGCGGAAUCACUGGGCUUAAAGCGUGUGUAGGCGGGUCGUUAAGUGCUUUGUGAAAUCCCCCGGCUCAACCGGGGAACUGCUUGGCAGUACUGGCGACCUUGAGCCACCUAGGGGCAACUGGAACGAACGGUGGAGCGGUGAAAUGCGUAGAUAAUCGUUCGGAACGCCGAAGGUGAAAACAGGUUGCUGGGGGUGUGCUGACGCUGAGACACGAAAGCCAGGGGAGCAAACGGG